AUUGAACGCUGGCGGCAGGCCUAACACAUGCAAGUCGAGCGAGCGGCGGACGGGCGAGUAAUGUAUGUGCAUCUGCCUGAUGGAGGGGGUUAACUACUGGACACUGUUACUAAUACCGCAUACUAUCGGCUGAACCCAUAUGGGAUUAGCGAGUAGGUGGGGUAAAGGCUCACCUAGGCGACGAUCUCUAACUGGUCUGAGAGGAUGAUCAGCCACACUGGAACUGAGACACGGUCCAGACUCCUACGGGAGGCAGCAGUGGGGAAUAUUGGACAAUGGGCGAAAGCCUGAUUCAGCCAUGCCGCGUGUGUGAAGAAGGCCUUAGGAUUGUAAAGGACUUUAAGCGGGGAGGCGUUACCCGCAGAAGAAGCACCGGCUAACUCCGUGCCAGCAGCCGCGGUAAUUC
rnacentral:rRNA from 1 species